rnacentral:rRNA from 1 species
AUUGAACGCUGGCGGCAGGCUUAACACAUGCAAGUCGAACGAGUGGCGGACGGGUGAGUAAUGUCUGGGAAACUGCCUUAUGGAGGGGGAUAACUACUGGAAACGGUCGCUAAUACCGCAUACCAUCGGAUGUGCCCAGGUGGGAUUAGGUGGUUGGUGGGGUAACGGCUUACCAAGGUGACGAUCCCUAGCUGGUCUGAGAGGAUGACCAGCAACACUGUAACUGAGACACGGUCCAGACUCCUACGUGAGGCAGCAGUGGGGAAUAUUGCGCAAGGGGGGUAAGCCUGAUGCAGCCAUGCCGCGUGUAUGAAGAAGGCCUUCGGGUUGUAAAGUUCUUUCGGUAUUGAGGCGUUACCUACAGAAGAAGCACCGGCUAACUCCGUGCCAGCAGCCGCGGUAAUAC